rnacentral:snRNA from 1 species
GAGUGUUAUAUUUCUUUUAGAAUUUGUCUAGCAGAUUUUCUGGAAGACCUC